rnacentral:lncRNA from 1 species
ACCGCAGCACGCAUGGUGGACAGAGGGACAGAGGAUGAACGGAGAAGCACAGGGCUGGCUGCUGGGGACCUGGCAGAUGCUUCCUAUCCCUGCUGGCUGGUGACAUCACCGCUGUGACGUCACACUCUGGCUUCCUGGGCUUUGGGAGUGCUGGUUCUGGUGAUAACCACUUCCUGCUCCCGGCCAGGGUGACUCAGGACUUCCUUCUGCUCCCGGAGUCAUCACUGAGCCUGGCUCUCCUGUAUCCUCAUCUAGGUACAAGCUGUUGUCAUGAAGCCUGGAGUUUUUCCGAGAUGCCAGAGGCAGCAGCGCAGUGCUCUUGUUUCUCAUCUAAACCUGUCCCUUUCUCAGAACAGAGCCCGCGUGUGUGAUUCCUUCGUGGUCCCAGAGCGGGUCAUCUUGCUUGCAGGGUAGCCUUGGGGCACCACUGCUUGUCAGGGUUGAGCAGAAAGGCAGACCAGAAUCCUCUGAGUCCCCCUCCCACUUCCAGCUGGUUGACUGACAUUCCACCCGACCAGAAGGAACCAGAGGAGGAAGAAGGCCUGAGAAACUGGAGGGAGGCUGCUCAGGCGGUUCUGUAGAAUGUUCUAGAAUACCUAGAAAAAAAAAAAUAAAGCACCCAACAGGCUGAAGCAAGGAAAUUACUGUAGGUAGUGAGUUCUUGGCCAGCAUGGGCUACAUGGGUGUAACUCUGCAUAGAAUAACCAACCAACCAACCAACCACCAAGGCUGGAAAACUGGCUUGGCAGUUAAGGGCAAGUCCUGCUCUUGGAGAGGAC